rnacentral:rRNA from 1 species
AGGAAUAUUGGUCAAUGGGCGUAAGCCUGAACCAGCCAAGUAGCGUGAGGGAAGACUGCCCUAUGGGUUGUAAACCUCUUUUGUGCGGGGAUAAAGUGAGGGACGUGUCCCUUAUUGCAGGUACCGCACGAAUAAGGACCGGCUAAUUCCGUGCCAGCAGCCGCGGUAAUACGGAAGGUCCGGGCGUUAUCCGGAUUUAUUGGGUUUAAAGGGAGCGCAGGCCGUCCUUUAAGCGUGCUGUGAAAUGCCGCGGCUCAACCGUGGCACUGCAGCGCGAACUGGAGGACUUGAGUACGCACGAGGUAGGCGGAAUUCGUGGUGUAGCGGUGAAAUGCUUAGAUAUCACGAAGAACCCCGAUUGCGAAGGCAGCCUGCUAAGCCGCCACUGACGUUGAGGCUCGAAAGUGCGGGUAUCAAACAGGAUUAGAUACCCUGGUAGUCCGCACGGUAAACGAUGGAUACUCGCUGUUGGCGAUAGACGGUCAGCGGCCAAGCGAAAGCGUUAAGUAUCCCACCUGGGGAGUACGCCGGCAACGGUGAAACUCAAAGGAAUUGACGGGGGCCCGCACAAGCGGAGGAACAUGUGGUUUAAUUCGAUGAUACGCGAGGAACCUUACCCGGGCUUGAAUUGCAGGAGAACGAUCCAGAGAUGGUGAGGCCCUUCGGGGCUCCUGUGAAGGUGCUGCAUGGUUGUCGUCAGCUCGUGCCGUGAGGUGUCGGCUCAAGUGCCAUAACGAGCGCAACCCCUGUCCAUAGUUGCCAUCAGGUCGUGCUGGGCACUCUGUGGAGACUGCCGCCGUAAGGUGUGAGGAAGGUGGGGAUGACGUCAAAUCAGCACGGCCCUUACGUCCGGGGCUACACACGUGUUACAAUGGGGCAUACAGCGAGUUGGAUGUGCGCAAGUACGUCCGGAUCAAUAAAGUGCCUCUCAGUUCGGACUGGGGUCUGCAACCCGACCCCACGAAGCUGGAUUCGCUAGUAAUCGCGCAUCAGCCAUGGCGCGGUGAAUACGUUCCCG